CCCCCGAUAACCCCAGUGGACUCAUGUAGUCACCCAGAAGAUGCCGAGGACGAUCCACUUGUUGAGAGCGAGAUUCCUACUCCUACGCAUGCAGACUCAAGGGGGAUUGCAAACCAGACACCUGAUCCUUUUCCAGAUGUUCAGGAAGAGACGCCUUGUGAGCUU